UACGUAGGGUGCAAGCGUUGUCCGGAAUUAUUGGGCGUAAAGAGCUCGUAGGCGGUCUGUCGCGUCGGCUGUGAAAUCCCCGAGGCUCAACCUCGGGUCUGCAGUCGAUACGGGCAAACUAGAGUAUUGCAGGGGAGACUGGAAUUCCUGGUGUAGCGGUGAAAUGCGCAGAUAUCAGGAGGAACACCGGUGGCGAAGGCGGGUCUCUGGGCAAUAACUGACGCUGAGGAGCGAAAGCGUGGGGAGCGAACAGG
rnacentral:rRNA from 1 species